UACGGGGGGAGCAAGCGUUGUUCGGAUUUACUGGGCGUAAAGGGCGCGUAGGCGGCCAGCACAAGUCAGUUGUGAAAUCUCCGAGCUUAACUCGGAACGGUCAACUGAUACUGUGCGGCUAGAGUGCAGAAGGGGCAACUGGAAUUCUUGGUGUAGCGGUGAAAUGCGUAGAUAUCUGGAGGAACACCGGUGGCGAAGGCGGCAUCCUGGACCAACACUGACGCUGAGGAGCGAAAGCCAGGGGAGCAAACGGG
rnacentral:rRNA from 1 species